CUCGUGACGUCAUGUUUUGGCAAGAACGUGAAACUGUACAACAUCACAAAUGGCUGCAUUGACGACAUAAUAAAAGCUGGGCACAAGAAGGAGAUCUACCAAGUUGUGGUGAACGAUCCGGGAACGCUCGCUGCAGUGACGGUAGUUUUUGGACCUGUAGUGUUGAUGGACCUUGUCACUCACUCUCGCAUGUAUGAGAUCUCAAACAGUACGUUCAGGAGAUGCGAAAGUAUCUUUACCUCUAAAAAUUAAACAUACGUUGGAAUUUCGCGGCAUAUAUCGUACAAUAUAUUUCAAUGUUAACGGCGUCUCUUUUUCUGUGUACGCAUUGCAUACUAGCAUAACAUAUACUAUCAAUAAAGCGCACUUUGCGAA